rnacentral:rRNA from 1 species
GACGAACGCUGGCGGCGUGCUUAACACAUGCAAGUCGAACGGAAAGGCCCUGCUUUUGUGGGGUGCUCGAGUAGCGAACGGGUGAGUAACACGUGAGUAACCUUCCCUUGACUUUGGGAUAACUUCAGGAAACUGGGGCUAAUACCGGAUAGGAGCUCCUGCUUCAUGGUGGGGUGUGGACUGUUUCGUCGGUUGGGGUGGGACUGGCGGCUUAUCCGCUAGGUGGUGGGGGAGGGGCUUACCAAGGCUGUGACGGGUAGCCUGCCUGAGAGGGUGGACGGCCACAUAGGGAGUGAGAGACGGCCCGGACCCAUACGGGCGGCAGGAAGGAGGAAAAUAGCACACAGGGCGGAAGCCUGAUGGAGCGACGCCGCGUGCGGGAUGAAUGAAGUCGCGUUGUAAACAGCUUUCGCCUUUGACGAAGAGUGAGUGACUGUAAUCGAUAAAGAAGCACCGGCUAACUACGUG